UCUCGAAAACUCAUCGAGCAU
rnacentral:piRNA from 1 species